GUGCCAGCCGCCGCGGUAAUACGAAGGUGGCAAGCGUUGUUCGGAUUUACUGGGCGUAAAGGGAGCGUAGGUGGUGGGGUAAGCCCCGCGGGAAAGCUCCAGGCUUAACCUGGAAAGGUCGCGGGGGACUGCUGCGCUAGAGGACGGGAGAGGAGCGCGGAAUUCCCGGUGUAGCGGUGAAAUGCGUAGAGAUCGGGAGGAAGGCCGGUGGCGAAGGCGGCGCUCUGGAACGGCCCUGACACUGAGGCUCGAAAGCGUGGGGAGCAAACAGGAUUAGAAACCCCGGUAGUCC
rnacentral:rRNA from 1 species